rnacentral:rRNA from 1 species
UACAGAGGUCUCAAGCGUUGUUCGGAUUCAUUGGGCGUAAAGCGCGCGUAGGCGGCCCGGUAAGUCCGCUGUAAAAGUCAAAGGCUCAACCUUUGAAUGUCAGUGGAUACUGCCGGGCUAGAGUCCGGAAGAGGCGAGUGGAACUCCUGGUGUAGCGGUGGAAUGCGCAGAUAUCAGGAAGAACACCGACGGCGAAGGCAGCUCGCUGGGACGGUACUGACGCUGAGACGCGAAAGCGUGGGGAGCAAACAGG